rnacentral:rRNA from 1 species
GCAGUCGAACGCUUUGUGGUUCAACUGAUUUGAAGAGCUUGCUCAGAUAUGACGAUGGACAUUGCAAAGAGUGGCGAACGGGUGAGUAACACGUGGGAAACCUACCUCUUAGCAGGGGAUAACAUUUGGAAACAGAUGCUAAUACCGUAUAACAAUGACAACCGCAUGGUUGUUAUUUAAAAGAUGGUUCUGCUAUCACUAAGAGAUGGUCCCGCGGUGCAUUAGCUAGUUGGUAAGGUAAUGGCUUACCAAGGCGAUGAUGCAUAGCCGAGUUGAGAGACUGAUCGGCCACAAUGGGACUGAGACACGGCCCAUACUCCUACGGGAGGCAGCAGUAGGGAAUCUUCCACAAUGGGCGAAAGCCUGAUGGAGCAACGCCGCGUGUGUGAUGAAGGGUUUCGGCUCGUAAAACACUGUUGUAAGAGAAGAAUGACAUUGAGAGUAACUGUUCAAUGUGUGACGGUAUCUUACCAGAAAGGAACGGCUAAAUACGUGCCAGCAGCCGCGGUAAUACGUAUGUUCCAAGCGUUAUCCGGAUUUAUUGGGCGUAAAGCGAGCGCAGACGGUUAUUUAAGUCUGAAGUGAAAGCCCUCAGCUCAACUGAGGAAUUGCUUUGGAAACUGGAUGACUUGAGUGCAGUAGAGGAAAGUGGAACUCCAUGUGUAGCGGUGAAAUGCGUAGAUAUAUGGAAGAACACCAGUGGCGAAGGCGGCUUUCUGGACUGUAACUG